GACGAACCGUGCGAACGUUGUUCGGAAUCACUGGGCUUAAAGGGCGCGUAGGCGGGCGUGCAAGUCAGGGGUGAAAUCCUCCGGCUCAACCGGAGAACAGCUUUUGAUACUGCACGCCUCGAGGGGGGUAGGGGCAUGUGGAACUUCCGGUGGAGCGGUGAAAUGCGUAGACAUCGGAAGGAACGCCGGUGGCGAAAGCGACGUGCUGGACCCCUUCUGACGCUGAGGCGCGAAAGCCAGGGGAGCAAACGGG
rnacentral:rRNA from 1 species